rnacentral:rRNA from 1 species
AACGAACGCUGGCGGCAUGCCUAACACAUGCAAGUCGAACGAAGUCUUCGGACUUAGUGGCGCACGGGUGCGUAACGCGUGGGAAUCUGCCCUUGGGUACGGAAUAACUCAGAGAAAUUUGUGCUAAUACCGUAUAAUGACUUCGGUCCAAAGAUUUAUCGCCCAAGGAUGAGCCCGCGUGAGAUUAGCUAGUUGGUGAGGUAAAAGCUCACCAAGGCGACGAUCUCUAGCUGGUCUGAGAGGAUGAUCAGCCACACUGGGACUGAGACACGGCCCAGACUCCUACGGGAGGCAGCAGUGGGGAAUAUUGGACAAUGGGCGAAAGCCUGAUCCAGCAAUGCCGCGUGAGUGAUGAAGGCCUUAGGGUUGUAAAGCUCUUUUGUCAGGGAAGAAACGGUGAGUUCUAAUACAGCUUGCUAAUGACGGUACCUGAAGAAUAAGCACCGGCUAACUACGUGCCAGCAGCCGCGGUAAU